GCCAGCAUGGCCCAGUGGUUUGUGCAUUGGACUGCAUCUCUGGAGACGGGAGUUCAAUUCUCAGCUGGGA